rnacentral:rRNA from 1 species
CGUAGGGAGCAAGCGUUAUCCGGAAUUACUGGGUGUAAAGGGCGCGUAGGCGGGCAAGCAAGUCAGAUGUGAAAUGCCGGGGCUUAACCUCGGAGCUGCAUUUGAAACUGUUAGUCUUGAGUGAUGGAGAGGCAGGCGGAAUUCCCGGUGUAGCGGUGGAAUGCGUAGAUAUCGGGAGGAACACCAGUGGCGAAGGCGGCCUGCUGGACAUUAACUGACGCUGAGGCGCGAAAGCGUGGGGAGCAAAC